rnacentral:rRNA from 1 species
AGUGAACGCUGGCGGUAGGCCUAACACAUGCGAGUCGAACGGCAGCACAGUAGAGCUUGCUCUUACGGGUGGCGAGUGGCGGACGGGUGAGGAAUACAUCGGAAUCUACUUUUUCGUGGGGGAUAACGUAGGGAAACUUACGCUAAUACCGCAUACGACCUACGGGUGAAAGCAGGGGAUCUUCGGACCUUGCGCGAUUGAAUGAGCCGAUGUCGGAUUAGCUAGUUGGCGGGGUAAAGGCCCACCAAGGCGACGAUCCGUAGCUGGUCUGAGAGGAUGAUCAGCCACACUGGAACUGAGACACGGUCCAGACUCCUACGGGAGGCAGCAGUGGGGAAUAUUGGACAAUGGGCGCAAGCCUGAUCCAGCCAUACCGCGUGGGUGAAGAAGGCCUUCGGGUUGUAAAGCCCUUUUGUUGGGAAAGAAAAGCAGCAGGUUAAUACCCCGCUGUUCUGACGGUACCCAAAGAAUAAGCACCGGCUAACUUCGUG